AGCUUGUUUCUUCUUGAGAGCGGCAGACGGGUGAGUAAUGCCUAGGAAUCUGCCUGGUAGUGGGGGACAACGUUUCGAAAGGAACGCUAAUACCGCAUACGUCCUACGGGAGAAAGUGGGGGAUCUUCGGACCUCACGCUAUCAGAUGAGCCUAGGUCGGAUUAGCUUGUAGGUGAGGUAAUGGCUCACCUAGGCAACGAUCCGUAACUGGUCUGAGAGGAUGAUCAGUCACACUGGAACUGAGACACGGUCCAGACUCCUACGGGAGGCAGCAGUGGGGAAUAUUGGACAAUGGGCGAAAGCCUGAUCCAGCCAUGCCGCGUGUGUGAAGAAGGUCUUCGGAUUGUAAAGCACUUUAAGUUGGGAGGAAGGGUUGUAGCUUAAUACGCUGCAACCUUGACGUUACCAACAGAAUAAGCACCGGCUAACUCUGUGCCAGCAGCCGCGGUAAUACAGAGGGUGCAAGCGUAAUCGCAUUACUGUCGUGAAGCGCGCGUAGGCGGCUCGAUAAGAUGGUGUGAAUCCUCGGGCUACCUGGAGCUGCAUCCAUACUGUCUGCUAGAGUACAGUAGAGG
rnacentral:rRNA from 1 species